rnacentral:rRNA from 1 species
CGCAGCUAUCUGCAGUCGAGGGGCAGCACAGGUAGCAAUACUGGGUGGCGACCGGCAAACGGGUGCGGAACACGUACGUAACCUUCCUUUAAGUGGGGGAUAGCCCGAAGAAAUUCGGAUUAAUACCCCAUAAGAUUGUAGAGUGGCAUCACUAAGCAAUUAAAGAAUUUCGCUUAAAGAUGGGCGUGCGGCUGAUUAGGUAGUUGGUGAGGUAACGGCUCACCAAGCCAACGAUCAGUAACUGGCGUGAGAGCGCGACCAGUCACACGGGCACUGAGACACGGGCCCGACUCCUACGGGAGGCAGCAGUAAGGAAUAUUGGUCAAUGGACGCAAGUCUGAACCAGCCAUGCCGCGUGAAGGAUGAAGGUCCUCUGGAUUGUAAACUUCUUUUAUAUGGGAAGAAAUCACUUUUAUCUAAAGGUGUUGACGGUACCAUAGGAAUAAGCACCGGCUAACUCCGUGCCAGCAGCCGCGGUAAUACGGAGGGUGCAAGCGUUAUCCGGAUUCACUGGGUUUAAAGGGUGCGUAGGCGGAUUAGUAAGUCCGUGGUGAAAUCUCCGAGCUUAACUCGGAAACUGCCGUGGAUACUAUUAAUCUUGAAUGUUGUGGAGGUUAGCGGAAUAUGUCAUGUAGCGGUGAAAUGCAUAGAUAUGACAUAGAACACCAAUUGCGAAGGCAGCUGGCUACACAAAUAUUGACGCUGAUGCACGAAAGCGUGGGGAUCAAACAGGAUUAGAUACCCUGGUAGUCCACGCCCUAAACGAUGAUUACUCGACAUUUGCGAUAUACAGUAAGUGUCUGAGCGAAAGCAUUAAGUAAUCCACCUGGGAAGUACGACCGCAAGGUUG